rnacentral:rRNA from 1 species
AUUGAACGCUGGCGGCAGGCCUAACACAUGCAAGUCGAGCGCGCGGCGGACUGGUGAGUAAUGUAUGGGGACUGCCCGAUAGAGGGGGCUAACUACUGGAAACGGUCGCUAAUACCGCAUCCUAUCGGAUAACCCAUAUGGGAUUAGCUAGUAGGUAAGGUAAUGGCUCACCUAGGCGACGAUCCCUAGCUGGUCUGAGAGGAUGAUCAGCCACACUGAGACGGAGACACGGCCCGGACUCCGACGGAGGCAGCAGUGGGGAAUAUUGCACAAUGGGCGCAAGCCUGAUGAGGCCAUGCCGCGUGUAUGAAGAGGGCCCUAGGGUUGUAAAGUACUUUCAGUCGGGAGGCGUUACCGACAGAAGAAGCACCGGCUAACUCCGUGCCAGCAGCCGCGGUAAUAC